rnacentral:rRNA from 1 species
UACAGAGGUCUCAAGCGUUGUUCGGAUUCAUUGGGCGUAAAGGGUGUGUAGGUGGCGCGCUAAGUCGGGUGUGAAAUUUCGGAGCUUAACUCCGAAACUGCAUUCGAUACUGGCGUGCUUGAGGACUGGAGAGGAGACUGGAAUUCAUGGUGUAGCAGUGAAAUGCGUAGACAUCAUGAGGAAGACCAGUGGCGAAGGCGGGUCUCUGGACAGUUCCUGACACUGAGGCACGAAGGCCAGGGGAGCAAACGGG